rnacentral:rRNA from 1 species
CCUACGGGAGGCAGCAGUGAGGAAUAUUGGUCAAUGGACGAGAGUCUGAACCAGCCAAGUAGCGUGAAGGAUGACUGCCCUAUGGGUUGUAAACUUCUUUUAUAUGGGAAUAAAACGUUCCACGUGUGGGAUUUUGUAUGUACCAUAUGAAUAAGAAUCUGCUAACUCCGUGCCGGCAGCCGCGGUAAGACGGAGGAUCCGGGCGUUAUCCGGAUUUAUUGGGUUUAAAGGGAGCGUAGGUGGAUUGUUAAGUCAGUUGUGAAAGUUUGCGGCUCAACCGUAAAAUUGCAGUUGAAACUGGCAGGCUUGAGUACAGUAGAGGUGGGCGGAAUUCGUGGUGUAGCGGUGAAAUGCUUAGAUAUCACGAAGAACUCCGAUGGCGAAGGCAGUUCACUGGACUGCAACUGACACUGAGGCUCGAAAGUGUGGGUAUCAAACAGGAUUAGAUACCCGUGUAGUC